rnacentral:rRNA from 1 species
AAUCAACGCUGGCGGCGCGCUUAACACAUGCAAGUCGAACGAGAAAGGGGAGCAAUCCCUGAGUAAAGUGGCGUACGGGUGAGUAACACGUGGAUAAUCUGCCCUUUAGUGGGGAAUACCGUUGGGAAACCGACGACAAUACCGCAUAAUCCCGAGAGGGGAAAGCAGCAAUGCGCUGAAGGAGGAGUCCGCGGCCGAUUAGCUAGUUGGUAGGGUAAAAGCCUACCAAGGCUGUGAUCGGUAGCCGGCCUGAGAGGGCACACGGCCACACUGGCACUGAAACACGGGCCAGACUCCUACGGGAGGCAGCAGUGGGGAAUCUUGCACAAUGGGGGAAACCCUGAUGCAGCGACGCCGCGUGAGCGAUGAAGCCCUUCGGGGUGUAAAGCUCUUUCGGCAGGGACGAUUAUGACGGUACCUGCAGAAGCAGCUGCGGCUAACUACGUGCCAGCAGCCGCGGUAAUACGUAGGCAGCAAGCGUUGUUCGGAGUUACUGGGCGUAAAGGGUGCGUAGGCGGUCCUAUAAGUAUGGUGUGAAAUCUCCCGGCUCAACUGGGAGGGUGCGCUAUAGACUGUGGGACUAGAGUGUGGGAGAGGAAAGUGGAAUUCCUGGUGUAGCGGUGAAAUGCGUAGAUAUCAGGAGGAACACCGGCGGUGUAAACGGCUUUCUGGACCAUAACUGACGCUGAGGCACGAAAGCGUGGGUAGCAAACAGGAUUAGAUACCCUGGUAGUCCACGCCCUAAACGAUGCAUACUUGGUGUGGGCCAUUCAGUUGGUCCGUGCCGGAGCUAACGCGUUAAGUAUGCCGCCUGGGGAGUACAGUCGCAAGGCUGA